AGGACUUGUCUGUGUGUCUUGUUUAAUUUGUAACAAAGCCUUACAGACAGGUGCAAACAGUAAAUCCUCUUUUGCAACCCAAACUCAUUAUUGAGUAUGAAUUUUUGGUACAUGUAAGAAGGAAUAUG
ensembl:snoRNA